CGCGAGACGUGGUCCUGUCAGCUUGCGGGCGCGGCGGGAAGGUGACGGCUUCCUUUUCUUUUCUCCCCGGCUAUGUUUUCCUUGGGAGUAGAAAAGGCAGGCCCCACGCGUAUCAGAAGGACUGGGGCUUAGGGAAAAGGAAAGAUGUCUUUGAGGUCGGGGAGAGAACAGGAACACAGCGGAAAAAAGUAGUUUUGCUCUCUUGAAAGCUCUGUGCUGAGAGUUGUGUUUUGUUUGCAAAGGAGAGGCCGCCGUCUCAUUGACAUUCCCAAAUGUUUCGCUUACUCGGUUCCCAGUCUCGUCCUCUUCCGCAGAGUGAUCUUGUUAAUGAAAGACAUUAGCGCUUACCUGUGGAAAACUAUUUUUAAAAGGGCGCUAAAUUGAGGAGAGAAGAAGAAGAGCAUGUCAAAGAGUGGUUUUGUCAAAAUCAGUGUGUAAGAGGCAUUCUGAAACGAGAGGAGGAGCGAGAGGGGGAGGGUUGUUGGAAGGUGGGUGGGAAACAGAACCAAGGGAAUUAGGGGAAACUAGUCGGAUUAUUAAUAUUUUGGAAUGUCCAGAGUCAGAAUGGAUAGUGUGUUUGGAUUGUAAUGGGAGAAAACGAAGAUCAAGAAUAUACUUAGUGACAAAAUUAUGCUGUGUCUACUAUAUUAAAAACAGCUGAUUGAGAAUUGGAAAAAUGUACCCAAUGUGAUUAUUUCACGUUUUGGCGUACAAUUCCCUAUCCUUGAGUUCUGCUGCUGUAAAAAGACAAACCAAAUCCAUAUGUGUGUGCAGACAGUUUUAAAGAGAUACAUUUGUAAGUGGUUAUUCCUAUAGUAGAAGGAAGGUAAGAAAGUAAAUACGGCAGAGAAUGUCAAAUAUUAUAUUGUGCAAGCUUAUUUUUCCAUGAAGAGAACUCUCAGGAACGAUGUGUUAAUCAUUUACCAUGUUUUUUGUGAAUAAUGUUGAUUUUAUCAGUGAUAUAUUUGUUUACCUGAUGAGUUUUGAGAACAUGAUGGUUUCCCAAAUUCUAUUUGCUACCAUGCCUUGUAUUUCUAAGUAGUCAAAAUUAUUUGAUUAAUUUGAAGAUAACAAAGGGUGUUAUGCACAUUCAACGAGACAACUGCUUAUGUUUGUGAUAAAGUUACUGAUGUGUGCUAAAAAUGCACAUUAAUCCAUUUAUAUGCACUAUUAAAAUUAACUUUGAGACAGCUUUAAAUCAUAAAAUAUAUAAUGUACCCGGAGUUGGGUUUGAGAUGAUCAGACUGGGUAUUCCAGAAUUGCUAAAUAUGUGAUGUUUAACGUGAAAAAGAAGAAAGGAGAAGUCUUUUUUCUUACCCCAAAUUAAUAGCAAAAAUUUACAUUUUUGUGUAUUGACAGAUCAGAAGAUAACUCUCUUGCCAAAGACUGUCACCAGUUUUCCCUCCACUACCGCAAUUUUUAGGUUUUUGAUCUUGAAUGAAUUAUACCAUGGGCUUCAUGUAGGCAUUCCCAGGCUCCAAGAGUCUGGUUGAUGGACUUCCUCACUGCCACCACCUGAUGGCAGUGGAAGCCAUGAUUUCUGAUAAAGGGCUUAGGUGUGGAACUGUUUCUGCAUUCCCCUAGCGUACAAGGCCAAGAACAGCCAUUUGUCCAAAGGUGAAGAUAAACGUGUUUAAACUGUGAAAAUUCAUGCAGUGGGGUCAUCAGCCUGUUCUCCCUGCUUUCUUUUCCCUUUGACUGGUACUUCACUCUUCCUUACCUAAGUACGCAGCCUCCGUCUUUUCUUCAUUCUUAAAAUUGGGAACAUCUGAUAUCUCAAUAGAUACUUUGAAAUUCUUUCACACGAAUUCAUUAUUUUCCCAAGUAUUGCGUCGUAAGCCUCCCCUCCCCACUUGAUUGAAAGGUUUUAUUUUGAGAUGUUUAAAAAGAGUCUAGGUGAUGGAGAGGGAUGGAAAUGUCUAGGCUGUUUUAUGGCUGACCCUGGAGGUAAAAAAAAACAUUGUUUUUGUAGCUAACUUUCUCUCUCGAACUCUAAUUGCAUUUCUCGUUUUUUAUCCUCCUCUACCAAGACUGUCAGAUACUGAGCACCUAGAACCCUUUCUUACUUUUUGCAUACCUACUCUCUAUCCAGCCCCCAAUAAAGCAAAACAAAACAACCUGGUCUUCCUGGAGUGUUUCUCUCUCUUUCAGUGACAGCGUCUUUUUCCAUGCAGUUAUGCAAACCUGAAACUUGGGCAUCCUCCUUAACAUUUUCCUCUCCAUUGCAUUUCAGGUGUAAUCAAUCACCAAGUCCUGUUUCUUUUAUUUCUGUCAUAAGUCUAGUCCAUGCUGCUGUCAUCCCUCAUUGAGGUCUCCUGCAGUAGCUUUCUAAGCAGUUUUCUUGCUUCUGCUCUUGCCCUCCAGUUUGUACAGCACACUAUUCUCCUGCAAGCACAAAUCGGUUCUCAUCUCUGUUUACAACCCUUUAGUAGCUUUUCAUUGCUCUUAGGAUAAGGCAAAAAUCCUUAACAUGGCCUAAAAGGCACUGCAUGGUCUGGCCCCUCUUUAACUCUCUAUUUAAUCCUACAUCAUAUGAUCUUGCUCUUUGAUCUUUCUCUGUAUCCUUACACAUGUCAUGCUCCCUUCAGCCAUAGGGCCGUUGCACAUGCUAUCCCAUCAUCCAGGAACCUUCUAAUUCCUCAUUCUGUUCUCUUUUCUUAAAUUCUCUUACACUGGAUCUCAGCUUGAUCACACUGUGUUUUUUAGGGGAGUCUUCUCUGACCUUCUGAUUUGUUCUCUUCUACCUACACACACUCAUGGCACCAUGUGGUUCUCCUUGGUCAUACUUAUCAUUUGUGUGUAAUUCCUUGAUAUGCAUGAUUUGAUACUCUUGAGAGAGAGAUACACACACACACACAUAUCAAGUAUAUAAGAAUAUGCACGUUAUAAUAUACACACAUGUUAAUAUGUAUUCUUAAAUUCUAAAUUAAUACAUUGGCAUUAUGUGUAAGCAGGUAGUUUCUUGUGAAUUUGAUUGAUUAAUUUGGUUCAAUCCCCUAUGGCCCUGUUGACUCUGGACAAAUGGGUAAGAUCAAGUUCUUAAACAUAAAAAUGACUAGACUCAGCAUCCAUGGUGACAGCACAAAUGCUAUUUUGUGAAACCUUGUUUGAGCAACUUCUUGCCUUUUUGCUGUCUCCUAAAAUACGAUAGUGAUUAUGUGUUUGCCCCAUAGGCCAAGAAAUUCACAGCAUCUUCGUCCUGGAUUUCUACUAGCUGAUAAUCUAUACACCCAGUAAAGAAGAGGGAACGGUGCUUUUUGUAGAAUAGAAAGAAAACAUGGGUUCUGAAGUCAGUUCUGAUCUUGCAUGAAUAACCUCCAUAGAGUCAACAUUAGCCUGUGCGGAUGACAGACUUAUGUCGGUUGCUGAGAGAGAAACA